UCCAAAGCUUUCCUCUCUCAAAAUAAAAAAAGGUGACAUCUGAGCAAAGAUCCAAAAUUAUCAGCUCCUAGAUGCCAGGGAUUUUUUGACUGUUUAAUUCACUGAUGCAUCCCUAGCCCCUGGAAAGGGUCAAGCAAGAUAGUCCCAAACUCAGUACCCUCUGAGUUUACAGUCUAACAGAGGAUGACACCAUUAUAGACAAACGGAUACAAAAAUGAGACAAGAACUUCAGAACUCCAAAAACAGAAAGCAG